GUAUUAGAGGCAUUGCCUGCCCAGUGACUCUAGUUAAACGGCCGCGGUAUCCUGACCGUGCAAAGGUAGCAUAAUCAUUUGUUCUCUAAAUAGGGACUUGUAUGAAUGGCCUCACGAGGGUUUAACUGUCUCUUACUUUUAAUCAGUGAAAUUGACACUCCCGUGAAGAGGCGGGAAUUAAAAAAUAAGACGAGAAGACCCUAUGGAGCUUCAAUUAAUUAACUCAUAAGUUAUAAUACUAAUCUAAAAGAGACAAAUCAAACUUGACUGAGUUAACAAUUUGGGUUGGGGCGACCUCGGAAUAAAAAUCAACUUCCGAGACAGAUCUACUAAGACCUACAAGUCAAAGUUAUCUUACCACAUAUUGAUCCGUCAAUGACGAUCAACGAAACAAGUUACCCUAGGGAUAACAGCGCAAUCCUAUUUAAGAGUCCAUAUCGACAAUUAGGGUUUACGACCUCGAUGUUGGAUCAGGACAUCCCAAUGGUGCAGCAGCUAUUAAUGUGUUCGUUUGUUCAACGAUUAAAGUCCUACGUGAUCUGAGU
rnacentral:rRNA from 1 species